rnacentral:rRNA from 1 species
ACAGGGAUUACCUCAGUAACGGCGAGUGAAGCGGUAAUAGCUCAAAUUUGAAAUCUGGCUCUUUCAGGGUCCGAGUUGUAAUUUGUAGAGGAUGUUUCGGGCACGGUUACGGUUUAAAUUUCUUGGAACAGAAUGUCAAAGAGGGUGAGAGUCCCGUCUUGAACCGAUUACUUCGUCCAUGUGAAACUCCUUCGACGAGUCGAGUUGUUUGGGAAUGCAGCUCAAAAUGGGUGGUAAAUUUCAUCUAAAGCUAAAUAUUGGCCAGAGACCGAUAGCGCACAAGUAGAGUGAUCGAAAGAUGAAAAGCACUUUGAAAAGAGAGUUAAACAGUAUGUGAAAUUGUUGAAAGGGAAGCGCUUGCAAUCAGACUUGAGCUUAACGGUUCCCCCUUCGUUCUCGAUGGGUUAUUCCGUUUUGUCCAGGCCAACAUCAGUUCGGGUGGUUAGUUAAAGACUUUAGGAAUGUAUCUACCCUCCGGGGUCGACUUAUAGCCUAGAGUGUCAUGUAGCCUACCUGGACUGAGGAACGCGCUUCGGCUCGGAUGUUGGCGUAAUGGUUGUAAGCGACCCGUCUUGAAACACGGACCAAGGAGUCUAACAUCUAUGCGAGUUUUAGAGUUUCAAACUCUGAGGCGUAAUGAAAGUGAACGGAGGUAAGAAGCCUUUAGGCUGCAUUAUCGACCGAUCUUGAUGUCUUCGGAUGGAUUUGAGUAAGAGCAUAGCUGUUGGGACCCGAAAGAUGGUGAACUAUGCCUGAAUAGGGUGAAGCCAGAGGAAACUCUGGUGGAGGCUCGCAGCGGUUCUGACGUGCAAAUCGAUCGUCAAAUUUGGGUAUAGGGGC